CAUCCCGUCUGGAAGAGUGGAAUAUUCAAGUGGCAGCUUGCUGAAAGCACACCAUACUCUCAUCUAGCCAGGCAACACUCCUAAAUACAGCAGAGAGGGAUAGGGAGAGGCGUGGGAACAAAGUCAAUAGGAUGGCGAGAAAAAAGGAAAGAAAGAAUCCAAAAAGGUAUUACUGUUAUCAUUGCUACAUGGGCUCAAGGUGGGUGAUAUAAAAGUAAACACACAGUUCAAUAUAAAGCCAUACCUGUACUAUUAAAAGACCAUAACACCCAUCAAAUGGUUCAUAAAAAAUCAAUUCAAUGUCAACGAGCCGGGUAAGCGAAAACGAUUUGCAGCAUUUCCUAAGAUGUCAGUAUACUUGGGCUCUAGUAGAGAACCUUCAGCAAAGAACUGCACAGUAUUGAAGCCACUACAGAGAAACCUUUGCCACAUAUUUUCCCCACAUCAAGAUGGAAGCUGAAGGAAAACAGGGUCCCAGCAUGCUGCGGAGAUCAGGAAGGUUUAGAGUGAGGUCUGAGGUCUGCCUCAAUCCUGUUUAUGAUCAGGGGAUGAACUGAAUUGCUGUGAUCAUACUAGAUUGGCUCCAGAUAAGUGAACACCGCUAUGGAUGUGUUAAAGACAUUAUGUAAAGACAGUAGCAGGUGCUGCAGGAGGCUACCUGCAUCAGUCACCAUGGUUGAAUUGUGGCUAUGACCCACAGCUCAAGCCAAAGAGUAGUCACAGAAGCUGCCUGUGGAUCUUGUUCCACUGUUUUUCAAGGUCGCUGCUCUGCCCCAGUGCCCACAAGCAUCCCCAUGAAGUUGUCCAGCAACUUCAGUUAAAUGACUGCUGCCUCCUAGCAACCCCAAGACCAAACUGCCUAAAAAAGCCUUCUGGCUAGGUUGGAAGUUUGGACUGGGAAGAACUUCAACCCACUGGCAAUAUUACAGCAGAGCAAGAGCCAGUUUAGCACUUCCUCAGUCCCUAUUUCUUGUCGUCAUGACAACCAGAGGUUCCUUCCAAGGAGUAAUAGACAAAGACAGAGUGAUAAGCAGACUCAGCAAUGAAUUGCACUAGCUAAAGAGAAGAAGAAGUCAACCUAUUGUUUCCAGGCCACUUUAUAAUAACUAUUCUGGUGAACAGAGAGCUUUCAAAGACAAAAGGCAAUGCAACAGACUUGACCACACGAUAAGCUGGUCAACAUAUUAUGAGUUUGGCAACUCAAAACAUGCCCUGUUAGUCUAGUCUUCAUAAACACUAAGCUAGAGACAGGUGUCAGACUUAGGUGUGACUUCCUUCUUGGCCAAGAACAAUAGGAGGAGGCAGCAGGCCCUUUCCCCCAAAAAAUGAUUGGACAGAAUACUACCUGACAUUUUGCUUUGUAUCCCUUAUUUCAAUAGGCUAAAGAAACAGGAAACUGGGGAUAUGGGGCAGAUAAAUGGUAGGUGGGUAGCAUAGCUAGUAUCAUGAUUUUUGAACUCCCCCCCCCCCGCCUCCCUGGGACAAAUAUAAAUGAGAAGGAAACACAAGCUGCCCCAUUCAGGUUGCAGUGGGGCCCUUAGUACUUCAUGCUACGCGUUCACAGCCUGAAGACACAACCCUUCUGCUUUCCUCAGCUCAGCAGAUAAGCCCCCAAGAGCAUUCCCAUCUCCUCCACAUCUUAAGACAGCGCAGCCAGCUUUUGGCUUCAGAUGGCCUCAGCUCACUACUGAGACCAGGGGUCAGCAACCUUUUUCAGCCGUGGACCGGUCCACCGUCCCUCAGACCAUGUGGUGGGUUGGACUAUAUUUGGGGGGGGGGGGAGGAAUGAACGAAUUCCUAUGCCCCACAAAUAACCCAGAGAUGCAUUUUAAAUAAAAGCACACAUUCUGCUGAUGUAAAAACACCAGGCAGGCCCCACAAAUAACCCAGAGAUGCAUUUUAAAUAAAAGGACACAUUCUACUCAUGUAAAAACAUGCUGAUUCCCAGACUGUCCGUGGGCCAGAUUGAGAAGUGGAUUGGGCUGCAUCCGGCCCACGGCCCUUAGGUUGCCUACCCCUGACUGAGACUAUAUCUGCCCAUAGCUAACCAGCAGAGCCUACUGGGAGCUGUCCAUAGUUCUGACUCUGCCUUUGGUUUACCUUUGCCUAACUCAACCUGCCCAGAAAAAACUCUGUUGGACAGCUUCCAGUUUGCCUGUGAGCCCUAAGCCCAGCAGGAUAGCUAGAAACAGUGAAAAACCUAGCCAUUCAGGGUAGGUGAACAUGCUAGGGAACAGAGACACAUUCAUAUACCCUGGACUCAGCUAUUUAAAGCUUUAGCAGUCAAACACAACAGAUGGGUUGCAUGCUACAAUAUCCUUUUAAAUACAGCGCAACCAGAAUUGUAUAUCAUAUCAGAACAUAUCAUAGGUUUAUAGAAAGGCAUUAGGACCCUUGCCAGUUUGAUAUAUGUUGGGGGUCAGGGAGUGAAGUGCCCUCCCUCUCUCACAGUCCCAAUUUUCCCCACAGCUCAAUACUUAUUUCACUUCAUCUCUUUUAUGGGAUGGAAACAGGAUAUUAGAAAUGCUUGUCACUUAUCUGACUUAUUUCUUAUGCAGGCUUAAAAAAAAAAAGUUUCAUGAGUGUUAUUAAUCAAACUGAAGGAGGCCUGAAAACAAAACACACAUUAGUAACAGAUUCCCCUGAGGACAACACAGCCAAUAGUUGACUACAGCUGUGGCACAAUACACUAUCCACAAGAGAAGUGAAAUAAGCUUUCCAACAAUUGGUAGGCAUAACAAGUGGAAAGGCCCAGACAUCUAUUGACCAAAACCUUCAUCAAAUGUCAGCAGAAGGAUCCAGCUUUUUCUCAGGCAGUUGGAAAAAGACAUCAGAGAGAAGCAAUUUCUUUGCUAAAAACCCAAGUUCUUCACACUGCUAGGGGUAGCCAUAUUUUCCCUUGCAACAAAAAUGACUUGUGACACCUUAAAGGAGCAACAUAUUAUGACAUAAGCUUUCAUGGAGCAGAGUCCACUUCAUCAAAUGCAUGAACUGUCAUGCUGAGUUGUAGGCAAAAUGUGUCCCUUUUUAAUGUUUAGAAAAUUAAUUAAAAGUCCUUCCCAACAACUCCCAAACUACAGAUUUAGUCUUGCCAUAACAUCCCAAUGACCAUCAAUAUAGAUUUUCCCAGGACAGUAAAUAUAACCUUAUCCUCCAUACAAAUGCAUCUUCUACUCAGAGUCAAAGCCUCUGAAAAACACGGAUAAACUUUUUUUAUUUCAGCCAUUAGCAAGUUGAUAUCCGAGCUAUAUUGCCUACCUUCUUAUCACACCCAUAAACCACAACAGCUCUAAACUCACAAAUUCAUUUACCACUAGACUUCUGCACAAUCAAUGUAUAACAAUAUAAAAACCACAACUAUGGUUACAACCAAGACUGAUUCUAUUGUUUGGUAUUUGUUAGGAUGGAUGUGUAUGCAGUUUUAAUGAGUGGACUACUAAAAUCCAUUAGUUUGUCCAGCUAAGUUGUUUAUAAAGGAGGUUUGAAGUGAAUUGCCUUGUCAUCCUCCUGUGAAGUUUCAUAUAUCAAUUCCUAAGUAUAAAUUUGUUUUUUAUGCAUAAGAUACUACUGUUAACAUUUUAUUAUUAUUAUUAUUUAGCCCAUUGAUGUUAUAUUUAGAGCAUUUGUAUCCCACUCUUCAACCAAAAAGGCUUCCAGAGUGGCUUCUAUAUGAUGAACUAGAACAAGAAAGUCUUUGCCCAGAGACCUAUAAUCUAAGGCAAUACAUGAAAAAGGAAAGGGACAGGGAGGAAAGAGGGGAAAAACCACACCCAGUUCUUAAGAGUUAAAUACCAGCACUUCUAAUGGCCACUUAGAAAGAAAGCAACAUGCAUAACAGCCUUGCUAAAAGAUGAGAAGGUACAAGGGAUAGUACACUGGUACCUCAGGUUACAGACCCUUCAGGUUACAGACUCCACUAACCCAGAAAUAGUACCUUGGGUUAAGAACUUUGCUUCAGGAUGAGAACAGAAAUCGUGCUCUGGUGGCGCAGUGGCAGCAGGAGGCCCCAUUAGCUAAAGUGGUGCUUCAGGUUAAGAACACUUUCAGGUUAAGAACGGACCUCUGGAACGAAUUAAGUACUUAACCCAAGGUACCACUGUAUAUGGGAGGAGAGACUCCUUCAGAUAACCAAAACCAAGAUCAACAACUGCACCUUGAAUUGAGCUCAGAAACAAAUUGUUAACUAGUUCAGUUGCUUUGGGAUAGGUGUUACAUGAGCCAGGCGCUACAAUCAGUCCCAGAUAGGAUUCUGCCUGCUGCAUUCUGGGCUAACAGUAGUUUCCAAACAGUCUUGGAAGGUUGCCCUACAUUUCAUACAAUGUAGGAAUCCAAAUAAACAUUAAGCAUGGUGUGUGUAACAUUGGGGAGAUCUCAGUUUCUGAAGAAAGGGUCCUCUGGCAUUUAAAAUGGACCUGGAUAAAGGCACCCCUUGUGCAUCCUGAAAUUCAAGCAGCAACCACAGAUCAAUGGGCAUCAUAGGCUGCAAACUACAUUCUUUAAGCUUUGAAGAAUCUAGUUUGCAGCCUGGAAUGCCUAUUGAUCCAUGGUUGAAUAUCAGGUUUCAUCAGUGGCAAAGUGUGCCUUUUUCAGCUUAAAGUUUAAGUGGGGGGGGGGUCUCAUCUUGUCAAGAUCAGGCUGAACAUCAAUUCCCAGAAGAAAAUUUAUUGUAGUCCCAGCAUUUUUAAGGUACAAUACAGUGCUCUAAUCAAAGGGUUGAGUUCAAUAGGGCAAGAAUCCCCAUUUUUUUCCACCUAAGGAAAUCUGCCAACAGACUGUUGUUGUUUUAUACUACAGCAUCCUCAAUGUGUGUGUUACUUCACAAAGUACAAGCAGAUAACGUCUUGCCACAAGAAACUUGCAAUCUCAAAUUUACUGCAAGGAAGGAGAGAAAACUUGUGACAGAUCAAGAAUAUACAUUCGCUUUUAUUACACGUACAUAAGACUAGGUUACAGUAGAAUAUGGGGACUUGGGUGGCUGUGCCAAAACUGCCAUGAAAAUGAUGGGUUUGAAAAAACAGCAACAGGUUUCAUCAUCACAGAGGUAUCCUGGAAAUGUUAUCUCUGCUUGACGUCUACUGUCCAAUACCCCACCGCUCUCAUCAACAUUAAUCUGGAUUGUUUCAAAGACUGAUGUCUGGAGAUAGAGAUAGAGAUAGAGGAGAUAGAGAUAGAGAUAGAGAUAGAGAUAGAGAUAGAGAUAUAUAAUUAAGACAAUUUCCCCAUCAGCACAUGACCUUUAGUGAAAUGUAUCAUUUUUCACACAAUCAUAGUUUUAAAGAAAAACACAGUUUAGUGUUUCAGGGGUUUUCCUCAUGUCCACCUCAGAAAACCCUGAACUCCAAUCCCACAUUCUCAAAAUGCAAAUUGAGGAGCAACUAUUACACAGGACAUCUGUGAUCAGGUCAGGUCUCUGUUUCAUUAAAACAUAGCAUUCACUUAAAGUUCUUUACGGCAUUCUGUGCAGGUACACACACCAGUCUGCCCUGGGGAAGCUGUCAGGAGAACACAGCCAGGGCCCUCCCCCUGACUUCCUGUCCUGACACUUUCUAGGUCUUGUGCCCUUCCACUAAGUUCUGUUACUCACAAUGCAGUCUCCCAACUUAAAAAAACAAAAUAAAAUCCUGAAAUACAGCUGAGGGGAGAUGAUGCUAAUUUGUUCAGCACAAUAGCAGAGUGUGUGUACUUAAACCCUUUCCCUUGGGCAAUCUUUCCAGUCACACAAUUGCAUGCACACACACACGGGCACAUGGGCCAGGGGAGGGGAGGUUCAUAUCUAUGUAAUUGUCCUCUGUUGGGCAAACAGCAGGUUGUGUUUCCACACACUAUUUUAUUUAUUUAUGUAAGUUAUAUACUGCUUACGAUAAAAAAGAAUUUCUAAACAGUUUAAAUAGCUUGCAUAAAAAAUAGGAGGAAAUCAGUAUCAAAUCUAUAUAAACAAACAUUCAAAUAAGAUUAUUUUUUUUUAGAGCUAACUAGAAACAGUAAAACUAUAUUACCAUACAAAUAAAACUGAGCAGUACACAAAAGCGGGUAGGGGAGAGGAAGACUUUAAUUUAACAGAAAUUCAGUUGUGCAUUGUUUGGCCCAAAGUAGUUAAGGAUGCCAAGAAGAAUGCCUCUGCUUAUUCCAGUUAACUGGAGAGCGAAUUGGUCUCCAACAUUCUAGAACAUUAGCAUGAUCGGCUUGGAGGCUGAUUAAUCAGCUGGGAUUUAAAUUGCAGUUCUGAAUAUCAAAUCAUUCUCCAGGAAGAUGGGGGGAAAUUGCUACUGCAAUUAGGCUUGCCAUCUGGCCAUCUCCAUCCAUUUGGAUGGGACAUGGUAAUUCACAUGUUUUGGAGCGUCAAAACCAACAUAAAGGGGAAACGGGGGUGAAUUGAUGCUCUCUGAAAACCAUGUUUAUUCUUAUGCAGGUUUGAGGGUUCUCUUUCCAUUAGCUAGGUCCUAGAGUAUCAAAGCAAUCCAAACAAUCUAUGGCUUAACAGGAACAAGAAGUGGGCUCUUGGGAGUCGACUCCUAUGCAUUCCUGCAGUGUAUAACAGGCUGUCGCUGGCAGAGAAAUGCACACAAAGAUCCUGGGAUGUGGAUAAGUUUUUUUCUACAUAAUAUGAGUAGACUAAAAUUUCAUCAGAAAACCCAGUGCCAGCACCACUGUCACCCUUGUAGUGCAGGAAAAGCACACAGAGCCCAAAGAGGAAGCAGAAAGAACAUCCUCCUUUAGCUCUAUGUACUUUUCCUGGGAGAAAAAGAUAAUCACCCUCACCACCUCAUUAUGGAAGGGGACAGGGAGUGUGGGGAGGGGGAAUCUUCGAGGCUUUGUGGGUGUUAGGACAAGUUAUUGAGGGCACCACAUUGAUGACCCCUGCUGUAAUUUGUCUAUGUUCACAUCAGCUCAGAAAUCGUGCAGCAGCCCUGGCUCAGAAGGAUUCACAACGACAGAAAGCAAGGAUCUUUCUCUAGAAAACUGCCCAAGGCCAGCCUGAAUGUCUGCAAAGUUCCAAGAUAAGAGCAAGCAGCCCAUUUCUUUUGCAUUUCUGCUGGGUAAGUCAGAAGCCACGCUGAUGCCAGUCGAUGCAUUUUUCCAUCUCCCAGUGCAACGCAUUAAGUUAAAAUAACUUUUGUCCUAAACAAACAAAUCAGCUUUCUCAGAGACUUUAUUUGGAAACAGUUUACACCUGAAAUUGCCUUGUUUGAUUAGAGAUCAUGAAGAUUUUCACCUACCACCUUCUGUUUGAACAAUAAGACAGACAUCCCUAUAAACAA